GACGAACGCUGGCGGCGUGCCUAAUACAUGCAAGUCGAACGCUUCUUUCCUCCCGAGUGCUUGCACUCAAUUGGAAAGAGGAGUGGCGGACGGGGGAGUAACACGUGGGUAACCUACCCAUCAGAGGGGGAUAACACUUGGAAACAGGUGCUAAUACCGCAUAACAGUUUAUGCCGCAUGGCAUAAGAGUGGAAGGCGCUUUCGGGUGUCGUUGAUGGAUGGACCCGCGGUGCAUUAGCUAGUUGGUGAGGUAACGGCUCACCAAGGCCACGAUGCAUAGCCGACCUCAGAGGGUGAUCGGCCACACUGGGACUGAGACACGGCCCAGACUCCUACGGGAGGCAGCAGUAGGGAAUCUUCGGCAAUGGACGAAAGUCUGACCGAGCAACGCCGCGUGAGUGAAGAAGGUUUUCGGAUCGUAAAACUCUGUUGUUAGAGAAGAACAAGGACGUUAGUAACUGAACGUCCCCUGACGGUAUCUAACCAGAAAGCCACGGCUAACUACGUG
rnacentral:rRNA from 1 species